UAUUCUCCUUUGAACUUAGUGUGUCACACCUGAGUCAGUAUAUAGCGGAGAGGCUACCCUUGGUGUUCUAACCUAUGAAUAUUUGCAUGAUUAGCAGCCUAACAUU
rnacentral:snoRNA from 1 species